UGAUGCAGCAACGCCGCGUGAGGGACGACGGCCUUCGGGUUGUAAACCUCUUUUAGCAAGGAAGAAGCGAAAGUGACGGUACUUGCAGAAAAAGCGCCGGCUAACUACGUGCCAGCAGCCGCGGUAAUACGUAGGGCGCAAGCGUUAUCCGGAAUUAUUGGGCGUAAAGAGCUCGUAGGCGGUUUGUCGCGUCUGCUGUGAAAACCCGAGGCUCAACCUCGGGCCUGCAGUGGGUACGGGCAGACUAGAGUGCGGUAGGGGAGAUUGGAAUUCCUGGUGUAGCGGUGGAAUGCGCAGAUAUCAGGAGGAACACCGAUGGCGAAGGCAGAUCUCUGGGCCGUAACUGACGCUGAGGAGCGAAAGGGUGGGGAGCAAACAGGCUUAGAUACCCUGGUAGUCCACCCCGUAAACGUUGGGAACUAGUUGUGGGGUCCAUUCCACGGAUUCCGUGACGCAGCUAACGCAUUAAGUUCCCCGCCUGGGGAGUACGGCCGCAAGGCUAAAACUCAAAGGAAUUGACGGGGACCCGCACAAGCGGCGGAGCAUGCGGAUUAAUUCGAUGCAACGCGAAGAACCUUACCAAGGCUUGACAUAUACGAGAACGCUGCAGAAAUGUAGAACUCUUUGGAC
rnacentral:rRNA from 1 species